CCCAACCCUAAUCAAUCCCCUCAUUCGAUUUCAGAUCAUGUGGUUCCAGUGGCAAUAAUCUCGCACUGUCUUGGCAUGCUAAUACUCUACAUUAGCCGAAGUGUAGUAAAUUUAAUCGGUUGUCCCUGUGGCACAAGAGUAGAUUCUCUAGAAACCCUAAGCGCUUUCGAUACUACAGUAGGAAGCGUCAUACAUCUCUCAAACAAGAAGGCCACAUCAUCGGCAGAUCCAGAGAAGGACGAAGACCUUAGUACGUUUAGGAAAUUAAUUGUUAGGACGUCUUCAGAAACGGAUAAUGGUACAACCAUUAGUGUUAUCAAGUAGUUAGAAUUUAGUUUGUACAGUUACUUCUCAAGGAUAUUCAUAGCGAAAUUUUAUAACACAACCAGGGGUAUGGCUUAAAAAUUUCAGUAAAAUAAUGCACUCAAAUGAGUCAAAAUAUUGAGAAAAAUUACUCAUUAACAAUUCAUGAGCAAAUUUACUAAAGUAAAAAUUAAUUUACUAAAAACAUUCAGUGAAUUUAAAACUUCAAUGCUACGCUAAGGGAGCGGUCAUUAUUUCGGGGGUGGCACCGAAAGAAAAGGGUUGGGUAAACAACAUUUUGAGUGAGUAAAAGGUUGGGUAAAUGAAAAACAAAAAAACUCAAGGGUUGGGUAAUAAAAAUUUAUUAUCAUUUCCAAAGCAUGACUCGCUCGAAUAUUGGAGACAAAAAAGCAAUGUCAACAGUCAUAUGUCAAUACAAUAUGUAAAUCAAUCAGAGUCACUGUCUUGAUCAUUUUCCGAUUUGUCAGGAGGCAAAUGGUGUCUCCAAAGAAAGUACAUGUGCAGACAACAUGAAAUUUUAGACUGCAGAAAAUUGUACAAGCAGUUAUCAAACUCAUGUCACAGAAGUGGUAAAGGACAUGUGUGACAACUGAACGGUAUCCUUUUGUAAAGUUUUUGGCCAGGGUGGGUAUUUAUUUUUUAAUUCAUAUUUGAGAUUGGGUAAAAAUUUAACUUUUUAAUGGUUGGAUCAGAAAUAUUUUUAUCGAGAAAAACGUUUCUCUUCGGUGCCAAUGCCCCGCCAUAAAUAAUGACCGCUCCCUAAUAAUGUCUUCGCAAUUUUGUAAACGACAAAAAAAUAUGGAUUGCACUUAGAAUAGGAAAGCAAAAGCUUUGUAAAUUUGGGGAAAUCAACAAGCUGUAAAUUAUUAUUUAUACCGUAGAUGAAUGAGACCAUAUAUAUCAUUGGAAUGGGAAAUGCAGUGACUUUAUUGGCAGUGAUACUGUGAACAAAUCAUGUCUGAUAUUUUUAUGAUAGGUCUAAUGCAAUUCAGCACAUUUUGCGCGCACAGCAUAUUCUACGCGCGGGUUUUAAGCGUGCUACCUUCCGACUUCAUGUAAAGCGCCGAGAAGCAUAGCCAUCAACUUAAUGUCUGCUCCAGAGGGCAGAGGGAAAUGGUUACUUUUAUAAUAAUAUACAUAAAGAUAUUACUCGACUGUGAUUGGUUGAUUUCAGUGCAGUUAAUCCCAAACAGCAGUGCAAUUUUCAGUAAUCACAGUGCAAUUUUCUGUAAUCACAGUGCAAAAAUCUGUAACAAACUGAUCUGAUUCGUGGAAAAACAUUGUGAUGAUUAAAUCAACCAAUCAGUUUAAAGCAAUUUGGUUUAAAGAAGUAACGGUCACAGAUUGUUUCAAAACAAAACAAACAUGGCGACGCGCUACAUGAAGUGAAAGUUGACUUCGGUUGAAAAAUAUGGCUUUUAUCUUUUUUAAAUGGAAAAGCCUUUGCCUUAAACAAGUCUAACAAAACUUACAUAGUUGAGUGGAAUUUUCAAGCUGUCAGCGUUGUAUAAUGUGAUAUAACAAAGCCAGGAAAACUUUGCUAUAGUGGAUUGUUCGCUAUAUUAAACGUAAGUUAAAACAACAAUUGUCUCGAACAUUUUUAUGUAAAUUAUUAAUUAAUAAGUAAUAUCAUGGUUUCUCGUGAAAUUUGGAUAAACAUGCACUCGCGAGUUUUUCAAAGACCUCAAAAUAGCUCUCGUCCUUCGGACUCGUGCUAUUUUGAGGUCUUUGAAAAACUCACUCGUGCAUGUUAUAUCCAAAUUGCACUCAAAACCAUGCUAUUACCUAUACUUAUCCCAGAGUCUCAAUGUGUUCCGAGACGAACUCGAGGGAAACAUCGAGAUAACAACAAUUGUAUUUCAUGACUCUUUAGUGUAAACGAGUUUAAAGCCUUAAAGGAGAUUGGCAAUAAAAUAUUAGUUUAGUUUAUUUGAAAGAACUCUUAAAACUAUAUAUUAAACUCUAUUACAGAUUGUUUAGAUCUUGCUUCGUUUUCAAAAUAUUUCGACUGAAAAAAGUGAGCUGUUCGCCAUCUUAGAUUAUUGAGGAUAUGCAUGUUACGUCAAGAGAGGGGUCACGCUAAUUUUUUAUCUUGAGAGUAAACGAUCAAUAUGGGUCCAAAACUUCGUUUCUGGUUGCUGUCUGAAAUUUAGAAAUAAUUAAAAACAUUUGAAACAAUCUUGGAUUGUUACUCGGUCAUUUUAGAGUAGUUUUAUAUGGUUAACCCAACUCCUGACGUCAUCAAAACCAUAGUUAAUGAGGUCAAGAAUUAGUCCAAGAUGGCGAACAGCUCAUUAAUUUCGCUCUAAAUAUUUCGAGAACUAAGCAAGAUACGACAAAUCGGUAACAGAGUUUAAUAUAUAAUUUAAGAGUUCUUUUGAAUGAGACAAACUAAUUUCCUACUUAAACGGUUUCAGCAGCAUAUCUUAUUGCCUGUUGUAUAUUUUUCUUCUUCAUUUACGUUCUUUAUUUUAACACAAACUUGGAAAAUCGUAGUUUAAACUUGGUAAACUUGCAAGCUGUGCUAAUCACGUUUGGUGUUCAACACUUCAACCAAGCUAUACCGAGUAAUACCGGGUGUUCCCCCCCAAAAUCUGGACACUGUUUCGUUUCAUGUAACUUAAAAGCUAUAAAGCUAUCGCAAUGAAAUAAAGAUCACCACAUUCAGAAAGGACUAACUAAGAUUUUGGUAUUUGACACUUGAAUUUACAUGCAAUAUUGAGGGAGAUACAACCAAAUUAAAAAUAUUUAUUAUUUAACAAGUAAUAACUACAUCGGUAAUUAUAAGGUUGUUUUUACAGCUAAUUUUUGACAUUUUCAAAAACAGUAGUUCAACGUUGAAACAUCAAUAGCGCAAUCAAUAUUGCAUGUAAAUUCAAGUGUUAUACAUCAAAAUCUAAGUUAGUCCUUUCUGAAUGCAAUGAUCUUUAUUUCAUUGCGAUAGCUUUUAUAGCUUUUACGUUACAUCACUUACAUGAAAUCAAACAGUUUCCAGUUUUUUGGGGGACACCCGGUAUCACAACGCUAUUUAUUGACCCAAUAUCGCUACUGUACAAUACAAAAACUCUUAAGAAUCAGCUUACAGUUUCCAUAUCAUAAUUUUUCGCCGCUCCAAUCCAUUCACCCUCAACUGUCAUAAGAAAACCGGUCUCCAUGUUGUUUGACAUAAACUUUGAAAGCCUUGCCGUAUUUAUUCAGUCUAUAGAGUUCAUUGUCGAUGAUUUUGUAUCGUCGACGGCGUCGUUUGGGAGGUCUGGUGUCUAGUAUCUCGUUGUCUUCUGAGACAAGUUCUGGCUCGAGUUCCCAAGGCUCCGUUUUCUAU